rnacentral:lncRNA from 1 species
ACUCCUUUUUGGCCACAUUCGUACUUACUUUACACGUGAAUAAUGUGGAAAUUAAACUUCACCGUGAAACAAGAUUGUGAUAACCUUUUGUGAAGACAAGACGAUGUUGGUUUGGAGAUAACAUUCAGUCCAAAGACAUACUUGCAGUCACUUCAACAUCCGUCUCCGAAUACAAAGGAAUGCUACACCUAGAAAUGACACCGGCAACUACAGUGGCAAUCAAUCAAAGCAUGGAAAGCACACUGUAAUUUUGGUU